GUCACAUACCAUAUCCCGUAAGAUCAUCGAAGUUAAGCAACGUCGUGCCUGGUCUGUACCUAGAUGGGUGACCGUUUAGGAUUACCAAAUG